rnacentral:tRNA from 1 species
CAGGGAGUAGUUUAAUGUAAAAUAAUAAUUUUGGAGAUUAUUGAUAAGAAUUUCUUUUCCCUGA